rnacentral:rRNA from 1 species
CCUACGGUGUGCAGCAGUGAGGAAUAUUGGUCAAUGGACGAGAGUCUGAACCAGCCAAGUAGCGUGAAGGAUGACUGCCCUAUGGGUUGUAAACUUCUUUUAUAUGGGAAUAAAACGUUCCACGUGUGGGAUUUUGUAUGUACCAUAUGAAUAAGGAUCGGCUAACUCCGUGCCAGCAGCCGCGGUAAUACGGAGGAUCCGAGCGUUAUCCGGAUUUAUUGGGGUUAAAGGGUGCGUAGGCGGACAGUAAAGUCAGCGGUAAAAAUGCGGUGCUCAACGCCGUACAGCCGUUGAAACUGGCAGUCUUGAGUGGGCGAGAAGUAUGCGGAAUGCGUGGUGUAGCGGUGAAAUGCAUAGAUAUCACGCAGAACUCCGAUUGCGAAGGCAGCAUACCGGCGCCCGACUGACGCUGAGGCACGAAAGCGUGGGUAUCGAACAGGAUUAGAUACCCGGGUAGUC